rnacentral:rRNA from 1 species
UACAGAGGUCCCGAGCGUUGUUCGGAUUCACUGGGCGUAAAGGGCGCGUAGGUGGCGCUGCAAGUCGGUGGUGAAAGCUCGUCGCUUAACGACGAGUCGGCCAUCGAAACUGCAGGGCUCGAGCACUGUAGGGGCUAAUGGAAUUCCGGGUGUAGCGGUGGAAUGCGUAGAGAUCCGGAAGAACACCAGUGGCGAAGGCGGUUAGCUGGGCAGUUGCUGACACUGAUGCGCGACAGCGUGGGGAGCAAACAGG